GUCGGCUGCUCGUCAGUGGAGGAGACACAGUUACAUGCAGCGAUCUCCUCCACAGUAUAGGGAGCAGUGAUCACUAAUGCCAUCGCUCGUCCCCAUACAGAAGCGUUCCUUCUCGAAAGUCGGCUGAUCGUCAAUGGAGGAGACACAUUUACAUGCUGCGAUCUCCUCCACAGUAUAGGGAGCAGUGAUCACUAAUGCCAUCGCUCGUCCCCAUACAGAAGCGUUCCUUCCUGACAAUCGCCUCCUCGUCAGUGGAGGAGACACAUUUACAUGCAGUGAUCUCCUCCACAGUACAGGGAGCAGUGAUCACUAAUGUCAUCGCUCGUCCACAUGCCGAAGCACUCCAUCCUGACAAUCACCUACUCGUCAGUGGAGGAGACACAUUUACAUGCAGCGAUCUCCUCCACAGUAUAGGGGGCAGUGAUCACUAAUGUCAUCGCUCGUCCCCAUACAGAAGCGUUCCAUCCUGACAAUCGCCUCCUCGUCAGUGGAGGAGACACAUUUACAUGCAGUGAUCUCCUCCACAGUACAGGGAGCAGUGAUCACUAAUGUCAUCGCUCGUCCACAUGCCGAAGCACUCCAUCCUGACAAUCACCUACUCGUCAGUGGAGGAGACACAUUUACAUGCAGCGAUCUCCUCCACAGUACGAGGACAUGUGGUCUCUAUAGUGAUCCCUCGUCCUCACAACCCGCUGCCCAGAAGCCGUGAUUGCUGUGAAGCUUUUUGCGGACCGCACAUGGCCGAUGCUACAUAGAAAAUGCCUAUAAUUGUCCGCAAUUGCGCAGCUGUCAGGAGGUAGAGGGGACAAUGUUCUGCAGAUCUCUAGGGAGGUCAUUGGUGUAAUAAUCUGCAGGAUCUGUCAGGAGGUAGAGCGGCGCUUUGCAGCUGCUCUCCAUAGGAUGUCGAGGCUCUGGGGUCUACUGGCGAGAGAUCACUCAGUAAUCCGCUGGCACCGGCCGCUGCAGUGCAAACAGAUCCCAAUGUUAUGGCAGGAGAGGGGCGGCCAAGACAAACAUUGGGGGUGACGAAGAUUGAAAUCUUAAGGGGUUGUCCGGUUCCCGGUGGAAGCGGCACCCGAUCUUCCCGGUGGAAGCGGCACCCGAUAAAAGUAUCACCAGAUCUUCCCGGUGGAAGCGGCACCCGAUCUUCCCAAUGGAAGCGGCACCGGAAUAAAGUAUCACCAGAUCUUCCCGGUGGAAGGGGCACCCGAUCUUCCCGAUGGAAGCGGCACCCGAUAAAAGUAUCACCCGAUCUUCCCGGUGGAAGCGGCACCCGAUCUUCCCGAUGGAAGCGGCACCCGAUAAAAGUAUCACCCGAUCUUCCCGGUGGAAGCGGCACCCGAUCUUCCCGAUGGAAGCGGCACCCGAUAAAAGUAUCACCAGAUCUUCCCGGUGGAAGCGGCACCCGAUCUUCCCGAUGGAAGCGGCACCCGAUAAAAGUAUCACCAGAUCUUCCCGAUGGAAGCGGCACCCAAUAAAAGUAUCACCCGAUCUUCCCGGUGGAAGCGGCACCCGAUCUUCCCGAUGGAAGCGGCACCCGAUCUUCCCGAUGGAAGCGGCACCCGAUAAAAGUAUCACCAGAUCUUCCCGGUGGAAGCGGCACCCGAUAAAAGUAUCACCAGAUCUUCCCGGUGGAAGGGGCACCCGAUCUUCCCGAUGGAAGCGGCACCCGAUAAAAGUAUCACCCGAUCUUCCCGGUGGAAGCGGCACCCGAUCUUCCCGGUGGAAGCGGCACCCGAUCUUCCCGGUGGAAGCGGCACCCGAUCUUCCCGGUGGAAGCGGCACCCGAUCUUCCCGGUGGAAGUGGCACCCGAUCUUCCCGGUGGAAUCGGCACCCGAUCUUCCCGAUGGAAGCGGCACCCGAUAAAAGUAUCACCCGAUCUUCCCGGUGGAAGCGGCACCCGAUCUUCCCGAUGGAAGCGGCACCCGAUCUUCCCGAUGGAAGCGGAACCCGAUCUUCCCGAUGGAAGCGGCACCCGAUAAAAGUAUCACCAGAUCUUCCCGGUGGAAGCGGCACCCGAUCUUCCCAAUGGAAGCGGCACCCGAUCUUUCCGAUGGAAGCGGCACCGGAAUAAAGUAUCACCAGAUCUUCCCGGUGGAAGCGGCACCCGAUC